AAACAUAUGUCCACAGUCUUUGGAAAGGAAUUAAGAAGAACUAACAUUUGCUGAGGACUUGCAUCUACAUAACACUCUACUGGGAUCCUUUGUAUACUUCAGAUACACACAUCAACCCUAGGAGGACUUCUCCUUAGUUCAGCUAAAGACAGAGUUCUUUGUCCCAUAGCCAUGAAAAUUCAGCCUUGCAGACAAAUUGAAUGAGCUCCCAAGAUGGUGGCAGUCUGCUUCCAAG